UACAGAGGUCCCAAGCGUUGUUCGGAUUCACUGGGCGUAAAGGGUGCGUAGGCGGUCGGGUAAGUCUGACGUGAAAUCUUCAAGCUUAACUUGGAAACUGCGUCGGAUACUAUUCGGCUGGAGGAAUGGAGGGGAGACUGGAAUACUUGGUGUAGCAGUGAAAUGCGUAGAUAUCAGGAAGAACACCAAUGGCGAAGGCAGCUCUCUGGGACGGUACUGACGCUGAGACGCGAAAGCGUGGGGAGCGAACAGG
rnacentral:rRNA from 1 species